rnacentral:rRNA from 1 species
UAAAAAAAGGUAAGCUACUAAGAGCGAAUGGUGGAUGCCUUGACUGGUAAAGGCGAUGAAGGACGUACUAGACUGCGAUAAGCUACGGGGAGCUGUCAAGAAGCUUUGAUCCGUAGAUUUCCGAAUGGGGCAACCCAAUGUAUAGAGAUAUACAUUACCUAUAUAGGAGCGAACGAGGGGAAUUGAAACAUCUUAGUACCCUCAGGAAAAGAAAUCAAUAGAGAUUGCGUCAGUAGCGGCGAGCGAAAGCGCAAGAGGGCAAACCCAGUGCUUGCACUGGGGGUUGUAGGACUGCAAUGUGCAAGAGCUGAGUUUAGCAGAACAUUCUGGAAAGUAUAGCCAUAGAGGGUGAUAGUCCCGUAUGCGAAAAACAAAGCUUAGCUAGCAGUAUCCUGAGUAGGGCGGGACACGAGGAAUCCUGUCUGAAUCCGGGUCGACCACGAUCCAACCCUAAAUACUAAUACCAGAUCGAUAGUGCACAAGUACCGUGAGGGAAAGGUGAAAAGAACUGAGGUGAUCAGAGUGAAAUAGAACCUGAAACCAUUUGCUUACAAUCAUUCAGAGCACUAUGUAGCAAUACAGUGUGAUGGACUGCCUUUUGCAUAAUGAGCCUGCGAGUUGUGGUGUCUGGCAAGGUUAAGCAAACGCGAAGCCGUAGCGAAAGCGAGUCUGAAUAGGGCGCUUAGUCAGAUGCUGCAGACCCGAAACGAAGUGAUCUAUCCAUGAGCAAGUUGAAGCUAGUGUAAGAACUAGUGGAGGACUGAACCCAUAGGCGUUGAAAAGCCCCGGGAUGACUUGUGGAUAGGGGUGAAAGGCCAAUCAAACUUCGUGAUAGCUGGUUCUCUCCGAAAUAUAUUUAGGUAUAGCGUUGUGUCGUAAUAUAAGGGGGUAGAGCACUGAAUGGGCUAGGGCAUACACCAAUGUACCAAACCCUAUCAAACUCCGAAUACCUUAUAUGUAAUCACAGCAGUCAGGCGGCGAGUGAUAAAAUCCGUCGUCAAGAGGGAAACAACCCAGACUACCAGCUAAGGUCCCUAAAUCUUACUUAAGUGGAAAACGAUGUGAAGUUACUUAAACAACCAGGAGGUUGGCUUAGAAGCAGCCAUCCUUUAAAGAAAGCGUAAUAGCUCACUGGUCUAGUGAUUUUGCGCGGAAAAUAUAACGGGGCUAAAGUAAGUACCGAAGCUGUAGACUUGCACACAACUUAGAUUAUUUAAGUUUAGAAUAUGAGAAACUAAGUUAUAUGUUUAGUUAUAUUUUUACUGAUUUUUAUAGAGUAAAGAUAGAAAUAAAACUUAGUAAAAUCAGUAAAAAUAUUCUUAGGCUAAAGUUAAGUAGUUUAAGUUGUGUGCAAGUGGUAGGAGAGCGUUCUAUUUGCGUCGAAGGUAU